rnacentral:lncRNA from 1 species
AAAAUUGCAAAAAAAUUCUAAAUUAUUUUAUAUUUAUUAUAAGUAUUUUAUUAUAGGCUUAAUACCUCUAUUGGUCCUCUUAUUUGUCAACUAAUCUCAUUUUGGUCCUCAAGUUUGCAACAGUCUCAAUUUAGUCAUAAUUUUUGUAAAAAUGCACAAAUUGUACCUCAUCCGUUAAGUAUUAGCAAACGGUGUUAAGUGAAGUCCACGUAUUGCGUUAAUAAUGUGGUGAUGUAUUUUUUUUUUUUAAACGUGGC